AGUGAACGCUGGCGGUAGGCCUAACACAUGCAAGUCGAACGGCAGCACAGUAAGAGCUUGCUCUUACGGGUCGCGAGUGGCGGACGGGUGAGGAAUACAUCGGAAUCUACUUUUUCGUGGGGGAUAACGUAGGGAAACUUACGCUAAUACCGCAUACGACCUACGGGUGAAAGCAGGGGAUCUUCGGACCUUGCGCGAUUGAAUGAGCCGAUGUCGGAUUAGCUAGUUGGCGGGGUAAAGGCCCACCAAGGCGACGAUCCGUAGCUGGUCUGAGAGGAUGAUCAGCCACACUGGAACUGAGACACGGUCCAGACUCCUACGGGAGGCAGCAGUGGGGAAUAUUGGACAAUGGGCGCAAGCCUGAUCCAGCCAUACCGCGUGAGUGAAGAAGGCCUUCGGGUUGUAAAGCCCUUUUGUUGGGAAAGAAAAGCAGCAGGUUAAUACCCCGCUGUUCUGACGGUACCCAAAGAAUAAGCACCGGCUAACUUCGUG
rnacentral:rRNA from 1 species